rnacentral:rRNA from 2 species
UUAGAUUAAGUUAUUAAGGGCGCACGGUGGAUGCCUUGGCACUAGAAGCCGACGAAGGACGUUACUAACGACGAUAUGCUUUGGGUAGCUGUAAGUAAGCGUUGAUCCAGAGAUUUCCGAAUGGGGGAACCCAGCACGAGUUAUGUCGUGUUAUCGACAAGUGAAUUCAUAGCUUGUCAGAAGGCAGACCCGGAGAACUGAAACAUCUUAGUACCCGGAGGAAGAGAAAGAAAAUUCGAUUCCCUGAGUAGCGGCGAGCGAAACGGGAAGAGCCCAAACCAAUAAGCUUGCUUAUUGGGGUUGUAGGACACUCUAUACGGAGUUACAAAGGAAUAUGUUAGACGAAUCAUCUGGAAAGUUGAAUCAAAGAAGGUAAUAAUCCUGUAGUUGAAAACGUAUUCUCUCUUGAGUGGAUCCUGAGUACGACGGAGCACGUGAAAUUCCGUCGGAAUCUGGGAGGACCAUCUCCUAAGGCUAAAUACUCUCUAGUGACCGAUAGUGAACCAGUACCGUGAGGGAAAGGUGAAAAGUACCCCGGAAGGGGAGUGAAAGAGAACUUGAAACCGUGUGCUUACAAGUAGUCAGAGCCCGUUAAUGGGUGAUGGCGUGCCUUUUGUAGAAUGAACCGGCGAGUUACGAUCUGAUGCAAGGUUAAGCAGGAAAUGUGGAGCCGUAGCGAAAGCGAGUCUGAAUAGGGCGUUUAGUAUUUGGUCGUAGACCCGAAACCAGGUGAUCUACCCAUGGUCAGGUUGAAGUUCAGGUAACACUGAAUGGAGGACCGAACCGACUUACGUUGAAAAGUGAGCGGAUGAACUGUGGGUAGCGGAGAAAUUCCAAUCGAACUUGGAGAUAGCUGGUUCUCUCCGAAAUAGCUUUAGGGCUAGCCUCAAGUGAUGAUUAUUGGAGGUAGAGCACUGUUUGGACGAGGGGCCCCUCUCGGGUUACCGAAUUCAGACAAACUCCGAAUGCCAAUUAAUUUAACUUGGGAGUCAGAACAUGGGUGAUAAGGUCCGUGUUCGAAAGGGAAACAGCCCAGACCACCAGCUAAGGUCCCAAAAUAUAUGUUAAGUGGAAAAGGAUGUGGCGUUGCCCAGACAACUAGGAUGUUGGCUUAGAAGCAGCCAUCAUUUAAAGAGUGCGUAAUAGCUCACUAGUCGAGUGACACUGCGCCGAAAAUGUACCGGGGCUAAACAUAUUACCGAAGCUGUGGAUUGUCCUUUGGACAAUGGUAGGAGAGCGUUCUAAGGGCGUUGAAGCAUGAUCGCAAGGACAUGUGGAGCGCUUAGAAGUGAGAAUGCCGGUGUGAGUAGCGAAAGACGGGUGAGAAUCCCGUCCACCGAUUGACUAAGGUUUCCAGAGGAAGGCUCGUCCGCUCUGGGUUAGUCGGGUCCUAAGCUGAGGCCGACAGGCGUAGGCGAUGGAUAACAGGUUGAUAUUCCUGUACCACCUAACAUCGUUUUAAUCGAUGGGGGG